UCAAACAGUUGCUCGAUUAGCCUCCAUAGCUAAGACAUCUUUUACAAAAUGGCGAGCUACAUUGUACCAGGAAAGCUAUUACCGGCUUUACUCUUCUUUGGGUUCAGCAUUCAUCUUACUUUAUGCAGCCCAUUGAAGAACUCAGAAAGCUUUUUUAACUUUCUAGAUCUAAUCGAUGUUGAUUCAGAGUGUAAAGACGAGCUCGCGAAGUGCGCGGCCAUACCCCUACAAGGAGCUGCGCUGACCGAGUACUGUGAAACGUGGAAAAAUAAAAGUCCCGUUAUCAGGAAGUGCCGUAAAACUUGUGGAUGGUGCAAACCACCAAGUCCAGAAAAACAAACUUGCCGAGAUGAGCGAAGCGACUGUGAGUGGAUCUUGAAUAAUGUGGACGACAUCGGGGAGUAUUGCGAGAGGUGGAAGGAUGACCCGGCUGUCAGGAAAUGCCGCAAGACCUGUGGCUUGUGUAACAAAAUCCCAUCACCGCCAAACCCAACAGAAGCACCAGAACCGGAAACUAUACCACCACAACCGGAAACUGUACCACCACAACCGGGAACUGAGGAGCCGGAACCAGUAACGCAGGCCCCAGAACCACCAAAACCGAAAACCAGUGCUCCAGAACCCCCUAAACCAGGACAAAUGUCAGGUUUCGAAAAGGAAUGUCUCGACGCGCACAACAUGUACCGCAUGCGCCAUGGCGUACCACCGCUGACCUGGAAUAGCAAGCUUACACGUGAUGCGCAGAGCUGGGCGGACACCCUCGUACGUGAGAACAAGUUCGAGCACCAUCCGGCUCUCAAAGAGCUAGGUCAGGGUGAGAACCUCGCAUACUUCGCGCCGGCAAACCGGAAGUGCGACGGACCGGAAGACACCAAUUACGUACAUUGUGGAGAGAUAGUGAAGGACUGGUAUGACGAGAUUCGGGAUUACGACUUCAAUAAGGGCGCCGGCAAGGACAUGUGGUCAGUGGUGUUACACUUUACCCAGGUCGUGUGGCGUGACACCACGGAGGUGGGAAUGGCCACCGCGGUUUCCCCGGUUACCAACAAGUUCUAUACCGUAGCUAGAUAUAAGCCCGCAGGAAACCAGGGCACCAAGGACGACUUCAAGGAAAACGUGCCGCCAGCUAUUGAAUCUUGAGUUGUCCAUGAUAGACGAGCAUUCCCUUCAUGUUCGGCGAGCAUUUUCUUAUGUGAAAUCGCAAACCAGCAGGGUAGAUAUCUAAUAACUGGCUCUUAGCGUAAUACCAAAUGGCUCUUAAUGUAAUAACUGGCUCUUGGCGUAAUACCAAGUGGCUUUUAAUGUAAUAACUGGCUCUUGGCGUAAUACCACGUGGCUCCUAAUGUAAUAACUGGCUCCUAGCGUAAUACCAAGUGGCUCCUAAUGUAAUAACUGGCUCUUAGCGUAAUACCAAGUGGCUCCUAAUGUAAUAACUGGCUCUUAGCGUAAUACCAAGUGGCUCCUAAUGUAAUAACUGGCUCUUAGCGUAAUACCAAAUGGCUCCUAAUGUAAUAACUGGCUCUUAGCGUAAUACCAAGUGGCUCCUAAUGUAAUAACUGGCUCUUAGCGUAAUACCAAGUGGCUCCUAAUGUAAUAACUGGCUCUUAGCGUAAUACCAAGUGGCUCCUAAUGUAAUAACUGGCUCUUAGCGUAAUACCAAAUGGCUCCUAAUGUAAUAACUGGCUCCUAGCGUAAUACCAAGUGGCUCCUAAUGUAAUAACUGGCUCUUAGCGUAAUACCAUGUGGCUCCUAAUGUAAUAACUGGCCCCAAGCUGCAAAACGUGAGGCUCCCAGUAAAAUAAUGGGUCUUGAUAUGACAACAAGUGGCUGGUAAUGUGAUGACUGGCUCCAAGACCAAAUCUAUGUAACGUAUUUACUCGAAUAGACGCCGUGGCGACUAUUUGAUUUCUCGUGAUCCAGUUGCGGCAUUUAUUCGAGGGCGGCGUAUAAAAGCCAUAUGAAGAAAACUUUGUCGUUUUGGGGGUCUGGUACCGAAAAGUUUAGUUUCUUUUUAGAUACUUUCUCCGCUUACUUAAGAUGGUCAGGGUCACUGUUUUUCUCUUCUGACUACAAGUCAUAAAGUUUACGAAGCACCUGCGAUACGGCAAACCUUAAAAGUGACAAGAAUCGUGCAGUUUUUUCAAAUAAGGAAUAUAUUAGUUUUCUUAUACGGAAGUGACCGCGUUUGUCAAAAACGACAAUUUUUGGCUAAUUUUUUUAUAUGACAUCGCUUUUUCAACAAGACUUUGAUUGACUUCGAAAUGGAAAAAUAUCGUUCACUUAGUCUCACGUAGAAACAAAUCGUUCAAUCAAAAGGCAAGGCAUACGUCUGCUCUUUACGUUUCAGACAAUGUUUUUCAAUUGCUAAUUGCAACAGGUGCGGCUGAGCCGGCGUUUAUUGAUCAACUGUGGUUGGUUAUAUGUAAAAUAGUGCCAUAUAUGUUUGUAAAAACAUAUGCAUUGGCACUAUCAAUACAAAUACAACAAAUUUUAGCCAAACUUUUUUAAAUAUAAAACUAAUGAAUUCAACGAUUACAGGGCAAAUCAUUUUUUUUUUUGCCAAAACUAUUUUGUAGAUGUCUAAGAAAACUCAAAACUGGAAAGACGAACCCUUAUGGGGACCUAAUGUCCGAUGAAAUAUUCAUAGCAAAGAACCGUUUCUCAAGAUAAAUUGAAAUAUUGAACAUUUGAUUUAAUGAUUUGAUUUAAUAAAAGCAUUUGUCGAA